rnacentral:tRNA from 1 species
GGCCUAGUAGUUUAAAAGAAAAUGUGGGAUUGCAAAUCUUAAGUUGGGGUGCCUUAGGCUU